rnacentral:rRNA from 1 species
UCUGGCUCUUCCGGAGUCCGAGUUGUAAUUUGUAGAAGAUGCUUUGGGUUGUGGGUUCGGCCUAAGUUCCUUGGAACAGGACGUCAUAGAGGGUGAGAAUCCCGUAUGUGGCCGAGGCCCGCGCCUAUGUAAAGCUCUUUCAACGAGUCGAGUUGUUUGGGAAUGCAGCUCAAAAUGGGUGGUAAAUUUCAUCUAAAGCUAAAUAUGGGCCAGAGACCGAUAGCGCACAAGUAGAGUGAUCGAAAGAUGAAAAGCACUUUGGAAAGAGAGUUAAACAGUACGUGAAAUUGUUGAAAGGGAAGCGCUUGCAACCAGACUUGGGCGCUGCCGAUCACCUUGAGUUUUCUCGAGUGCACUCGACAGCGCACAGGCCAGCAUCGGUUCGGGUGGCUGGAUAAAGGCCGUAGGAAUGUGGCUCUCUUCGGGGAGUGUUAUAGCCUACGGUGCCAUGCAGCCCAGCCGGACCGAGGACCGCGCCUUCGGGCUAGGAUGCUGGCGUAAUGGUUGUAAGCGACCCGUCUUGAAACACGGACCAAGGAGUCUAACAUCUAUGCGAGUGUUUGGGUGGUAAACCCAUACGCGGAAUGAAAGUGAACGUAGGUGAGAACCCCUUUGGGGCGCAUCAUCGACCGAUCCUGAUGUCUUCGGAUGGAUUUGAGUAAGAGCAUAGCUGUUGGGACCCGAAAGAUGGUGAACUAUGCCUGAAUAGGGUGAAGCCAGAGGAAACUCUGGUGGAGGCUCGCAGCGGUUCUGACGUGCAAAUCGAUCG